AAAAGAUUAGUUAAGAAAAUAACAUCAGUAUGUCAAACUGAAAUCAUUAAAUAAUAAUAUCUUUUU
rnacentral:tRNA from 1 species